UUUUUUUCUUUCUUUCCUGAUUUUCUGCUUCCCUUUGGGUUAAUUGAAUAUCUUCAUUUUUCUUCUUUUGUUCACUGAUUAGCCAUAAAUUUUGUUUUUAUUUAUUUGCUUCUUUAGUUUUGUUUGAUGUUUAGCUUUUUACUGAUUUUAGAAUUUUUUACUGCUUUAAAGUUUCUAGAAACACUCUGAUAGAUAUAAAAUGUCAGCUACAUAUAUAAUUUAUACUUUUUCUAACAGCCAUUUAAAUAAAAAAAAUAAAGUUAAAAGAAGCAGGCAAAAUUAAUUUUAAUUUUUAAAAAUUUAAUGCAAUACACCCAAAUUAUCAUUUUAACCUAUAACAGUAUUAAAAUCUUAAUGAGAAAUUUUAUAUUAUUUUUUCCAUUAUGUCUUUGAAAUCUGAUGUGCGUUUUACACUUGUAGGCUAUUUCCUUUCAAAUUAGUCACAUUUCAAGUGCUUGAGAGCUACUUGUGGCUAGGAGCUACAAUAGCAGACAGUGGAGUUUUAUAGAAUGCAUCUUUAACUUAUCACAAGUCAUAUUAUGCCACUUUACAUAAAGUAGAAAAACCUUAAACUUGCAUUUCUCUCCUCUUGGCCUUAAUGCUGUUAGUAUCAUAUGCUUUACUUUUGUAUGUUAUAAACUUAACAAUAAAUUGUUAUUACUGUUAUUAUUUUUUGUUUUGUUACAUUGUAAAGAGAUUUUUAAACUAUGAAAAAUGUCUUGUAUAUGUACUCAGAUUAACCAUUUUCUUUUAAGGUAGAUUCAGAAUAUUUUCAGCUUAAAGGACUUCCUUUAGUAUUUCUUGAAGUAGAAAUAAAUCUACUGGUGAUUAAUUCUUCCAACUUUUGGGUAUCUAAAAACAUCUUUAUUUUUCCUUCAUAGUGAAAAAUAUAUUCACAGCAUAUAAAACUGUAGGUUGAUCAUUGUUUUUCUCUUCAGUACAGGCAUACCUCAUUUUAUUGCACUUUGUAGAUAUUAUAGACAUUGUGUUUUUUACAAGUUGAAGAUAUGUGGCCAACCUGCAUUAAUAAAGUUUGUUGACACUAUUUUUCCAAAGGAAAUUGCUCAGUUCACCUGUGUCACAUUUUGGUAAUUCUCACGAUAUUUCAAACUUUUUCACUAUUAUUUGUUAUGGCAAUCUGUGACCAGAGAUCUUUUUUUAACUUAUUUUUUAUUAAAGUAUAGUUGAUUUACAAUGUUGUGCCAAUUUCUGCUGUACAGAAAAGUGACAGCAGAAAAUAAUAUAUUAUGUGAUAAGUGAUCUUUGACAUUAUUCUAAUAGUUUUGGGGCACCAUGCACUGCACACAUAUAAGAUAGAAAAUUUAAUUGCUAACUGUGUGUGUUCUGACAGCUCCACCAACCCUUCUCUUAUCUCUCUCUCUCCUUGGACCUCCCUAUUACCUGAGGCACAACAAUUUUGAAAUUAGGGAGUUCCCUGGUGGUGCAGUGGCCAAGGUUCUGGCACUGUCACUGCUGUGGCUUAGGUUGCAGCUGUGGCACAACCAUGGGUUGAUGGUUUGAUCCCAUGGCAGAAUUUCUGCAUCCCAUGGCAUGGCCAAAACAAACAAACAAUAAAAUGGAAAAACAUUUUAAAAUAAAAAAUUAAAAACAAUAUUAAAAUUAGUGUAAUUAGUAACUCUACAAUGGCCUCUAAAUGUUCAAGUGAAAGGAAGAAUUGCUUUGUCUCUCACUUUAAGCAAGAGCAAGAAAUGUUUAAACUUAAUGGAGAAGGCAUGUCAAAAGCCAAGACAAGCCAAGAUCUAGGCCUUUUGCAUCAAAGAAUUGGACAAGUUUUGAAUGCAAAUGAAGAGGUCUUAAAGGAAAUUACAAGGGCUGCUCUAGUGAAAGCAUGAAUGGUAAGACAAAAGCAAAACAACCUUAUUGCUAUUAUGAAGAAAGUCUGAGUGGUCCGGAUAAAACAAGCCCUUAAACCAAAGCCUCAUCCAAAGCAAGGCCUUCUCUUCAUUUCUAACAAGGCUGAGAGGUGUGGAAACUGCAGGAAAAAAAAGUCUGAAGCUAGCAGAAGGUGGAUCAUGAGGUUUAAGGAAAGAAACGGUCUCCAUAAUAUCAAAGUGCAAGGAGUUCCCAUUGUGGCUUGGUGAUAAUGAACCUGACUAGCAUCCAUGAGGAUGUGGGUUCAAUGCCUGGCAUCCCUCAGUGGGUUAAGGAUCAGGCGUUGCCAUGAGCUGUAGGUUGCAGAAGCGGCUUGGAUUCUGAGUUGCUGUGGCUAUGGCCAGUAGCUGUAGCUCUGAUUUGACCCCUAACCUGGGAACUUCCAUAUGUCACAGGUCCAGCCCUAAAAAGCCAAAAAAAACAAGAAGAAUUAUGCUAAAUUGACUCUGCCUACUCUAUAUUUGGAACAGCAAAGCCUGAAAGAUAGCACAUCUGUUUAUAGCAUAGUUUAUUGAAUAUCUUAAACCCACUGUUGUAAUCUAUUGGAAAAAAAAAAAAAAGGUUCCUUUUAAAGGUUACUGCUCAUUGACAAUACACCUGGUCACCCAAGACCUCUGAUGGAGAUGUAAGAUUCAUGGUUUUCAUGCCUGCUAACCCAACAUCCAUUCUGCAGCCUAUGAAUCAAGGAGUAAUUUUGACUUUUAAGUCUUAUUAUUUAAGGAAUAUAUCUUUCAUAUAUUAUAAAAAAUAUAUACAGUCUCUUUUUAGGGCCACACCCACAGCAUAUGGAAGUUCCCAGGCUAGGGGUUGAAUCGGAGCUGUAGCCACUGGCCUACACCACAGCUCACAGCAAUGCCAGAUCCUUAACCCACUGAGUGAGGCUAGGGGUGGAACCUGCAUCCUCAUGGAUGCUAGUCAGAUUUGUUUCCACUGAGCCAUGAUGGGAACUCCAAGAAAUAUAUUUUGUAAGGCUGUAGUUACCAUAAAUAUGGAUUCCUCUGAUGGAUCUGGGCAAAGUAAAUUUAAAACAUUCUGGGAAGGAGUCUCACUGUUCUAGAUGGCGGGAAGAAAAUUCAUGAUUCAUUGGAAGAGGUGAAAAUAUCAACAUUAACAGUAGUUUGGAAGAAGUCGAUUCCAACCCUAAUGGAAGUGGUUCAAGACUUAAGUGGAAGCAGAUGUGAUGGAAAUAGUAAGAGAACUAGAAUUCAAAAUGAAGCCUGAAGAUGUGACUGAACUGGUCCAAUUUCAUGAUAAAACUUGAAUGGAUGAAGACUUGCUUUUUGGGGAUGAGUAAAGAAAGUGGUUUCUUGGAGUUCCCAUUGUGGCUCAGCGGAAAUGAACCCGACUAGUAUCCAUGAGGAUACGGGUUCGAUCCCUGGCCCCACUCAGCCGGUUAAGGAUCCAGUGUUGGUGAAAGCUGUGGUGUGGGUUGCAGACACAGCUUGGAUGUGGCGUUGCUGUGGCUGUGACAUAGGCAGGCAGCUGUAGCUCUGAUUUAAUCCUUGGCCAGGGAACUUCCAUAUGCCAAAGGCACAGCCCUAAAAAGCAAAAAAAAAAAAAAAAAAAAAGAAAGAAAGAAAGAAAAAACAAAAGAAAUGGUUUCUUGAUGGACUCUACUUCUGGUGAAGGUGCUAUGAAGUUUUUGAAAUCACAAGAGUUUAAGAGUUUAAUAUAUUUUGUGAACUUAUUUGAUAAAGCAGCUGCAGGGCUUGAGAAGACUGACUUCUAUUUUGAAAGAAGUUCUGUGCAUAUAAUGCUAUCAAACAGCAUUGCAUGCGACAGAGAAUGCAGAGAACAGAGAAGUAAUUUGUGAAAGGAAGAGUCAACUGAUUUAAGAGAUAGACAUUGCUUUUUAGACAUAAUGCUAUUGCACACCACACUUAAUAGAUUAUAAUUUAGUGUAAACAUAGAUAAACUUUAUAUAAACUGGAAAUCAAAAAAUUACGUGACUCAUUUUAUUGCAAUAUUUGCUUCAUUGCAGUCGUCUGGAACCAAGUCUGCAAUAUCUCUCAGGUAUGCCUUAUCUUAAGGAUAUUACUCCACUAUCUCUGGGCUUACAUUGUUUCUGACAAGAAGUCUUCUGUAGCCUUGUGAUGCAUCCUCUUUCUUUGUAAGGUGUCUUUUUUCUCUGGUUGCUUUUUAAGACUUUAUCACUGGCAAUUCAAUUACGUGCCUACAUGUAAUUUUUAUAGUUUCUUGUGCUUGGGAUUUCUUGAGUUUCUUCAAUCUGUUGGUUUAUAGCUUUUACCAGAUUUGGACAAUUUUGGGCCA
rnacentral:lncRNA from 1 species